CUAAAUUCAUACCUUUUGCUCUUUCACUCUGCUCUGUGAAUGAACUCGCCUGCCUUUGCCUCUUAUGUUUCAGAUACCAAGGCCCCCAAUUCAGAAUUAAACAAUUCACAAAACUGCAAUGUUUGUUUCUGAGUAUAAGGAAAGAAUUGUCUUCCAUGUGAGACAAUCAACACGGAGGCAGAAGCUUUUGAAAGCUUUGUGUACAGUGGGUCACAGAGCCCAAGCAGAAUGGCUGAAGCUGCUCAACAUUUUUUUCCUCCCAAGCUUCUCACGAACACCUUUGAAAGUCCAGCUAAUUCUGCACAGAUCCGAAUCUACUUAGAAUCGUCUGGUCUUUUGCCCAAGUGGAUAUUCUUCAUGCAUUUGU